rnacentral:rRNA from 1 species
CAGCAGCCGCGGGAAUACGAGGGGGGCAAGCGUUGUUCGGAAUUAUUGGGCGUAAAGGGUGCGUAGGCGGUUUGACAAGUUUUGUGUGAAAUCUCUGGGCUCAACCCAGAGUCUGCACGGGAAACUGUCGGGCUAGAGGAUGGGAGAGGUGAGUGGAGUUUCCGGUGGAGCGGUGAAAUGCGUUGAGAUCGGAAAGAACACCAACGGCGAAAGCACUCUGCUGGGCCGACACUGGCACUGAGAGACGAAAGCUAGGGGAGCAAAUGGGAUUAGAUAACCCUGUAGUCCCUGUCUCUUAUAC